rnacentral:rRNA from 1 species
GAUGAACGCUAGCGGCAGGCCUAAUACAUGCAAGUCGGACGGGAUUCAGGAGCUUGCUUCUGAUGAGAGUGGCGCACGGGUGCGUAACACGUAUGUAACCUACCUUUAUCAGGGGGAUAGCCUCUCGAAAGAGAGAUUAAGCCCGCAUAAAAUCACAGCACAGCAUUGUGUAAUGAUCAAAUAUUUAUAGGAUAAAGAUGGGCAUGCGGAACAUUAGCUAGAUGGCGGGGUAACGGCCCACCAUGGCGACGAUGUUUAGGGGAUCUGAGAGGAUGGCCCCCCACAAUGGUACUGAGACACGGACCAGACUCCUACGGAAGGCAGCAGUAAGGAAUAUUGGUCAAUGGGCGGAAGCCUGAACCAGCCAUGCCGCGUGCAGGAAGACGGCCCUACGGGUUGUAAACUGCUUUUAUACGGGAAUAAACCCAGAUACGUGUAUCUGGCUGAAUGUACUGUAAGAAUAAGGAUCGGCUAACUCCGUG